UGGAUAUAGGCGUUGAGAAGAUUAAAGGUGAAAGCCAUGGCGGCGAUGCUCAUCGGAAAGCCCGUUUUAGCAGAGGAGGAGCUGCGGAGGAGGCGGAGAGGGUAGAUGACUGUGCGGUGGAAGUAAUGGAGGAGGUAAGGUGAGAAGAGGAGGAGAGAUUUGGGAUUGUGAGAGUGGCGGCCAAAGGGGAAGAGGAGGAGCGUGAGCCAUAAGGUGGGGCUCUCCAUGAGGAACCAAGCGAGCGGGGGAGAUAAAGUGGGGCCCCAUCCGGAACGGUUGUGUUUGCCGUAAGGAGCUUGGAGGAAUUUGAGAGCGACGGCGGUUGGUGGGCCCGAGAAAAUUAGUGUUAGGACGCAGUAGCGGAAGAAGGUCUCAUCGGCGAUCUCUUUCAUUUUGGGUGAUUCUGCGAAGUGAUGAAGAAUCAGAUCUAUCCGUGCAGAGUCGAGUACAGCUCAGCUUGGCAAUUUAAUUCGAUGUAAUAAUAAAAAGUAAUAUUUUGACUUUUGCAAAUUUUUUACUUUUGUAAAUCUUGUACUUUGUCUUAAAGCAUGUUUAUGCGCGGUCUUUAGUGAGGUUCUUAAUGCGUGGACUCCCACAAAACUCUUAAUGAUCGGUUACAAAAACUACUAAUUAAGAAUCGAUUUUAGUGAGUUUUUUACACUGUUCGUGGACCCCACUGAUUCCUGACGCUCCGCGAUUGGUUUGAUUUUUAAUUUUUUUUAUUUUAGAUAAAAGAAACUUAAGAAACCUAUUUGAGUUUUUUAGAGAUAAACAUAGGGCCGUUCAAUAUGGUAAAACCAAACCGUACCGAACCGAACCAAAAUAGACAAUAUGGUUUGGUUUUGGUAUAUACCAUAUAAACCGAAUGGAUAUAAUUUUAUAAAAACCGUAGGGCUUAGAUAUGGUUUGGUAUAUAACCGAUUAAACCGAAUAAACCGAACAAAACCGAUUAAAAGUAGAAACAUGUAAAUAUGUAUCUAUUUUAUAACAAUACAUGAAAAUCUAUUUGUUACAUAAGUUAAAUUUGUGUUAAUAACUAUUACCAUAAUUUUAUAGUAAUAAAAAACCUUAAUUUGUAAAACACUUGAACUAUAACUAAAUAACAAUACAUCGCAAUUCAGACAUCUUAUUUUCUAAGUCUUCUUUUGAUAGUCUUUGGAUUCAUUUAGUUAUUGAUAUGUCUUGUUUCAUUAGAAAACUAGCUUUGUCUCUUAGUCUUUACAUGACAUAUAUAACACUCUUCACUCUUAUGUUAAAACCUUUGAUAUAUUAAUAGAUUGGUCUAAAUGAUACACAUUUUAGCACUCUUGUAGUACACCAACAUAAAUAAAACUAAACCGGAACAAUAAACCAACAUUAAGAGAACUAAACCGGUAACUGAAUAUUUUCAGAACACAAAAGGAAUAACAGCUUUCCGAGUCUUGGGGUACUCGUCCUUAAACUUGUCACCGUACCAUACGUGGCUCGCACGUGCGCGCGGGAUCAAGUUGGAACACGUGUAUAGGAAAAACCCAAUCCCGGCCCAAGACCAAGUCAUUACAGCCCAGCCCAACCACUCAACCACCUCUCCAAAGUAAUUCGGACAGCUUACAAACUCGAACAAGCCUCCUCUCGGUAUCACAUAACCUCCCCGGUUCUCCUUCUUCAUCCGUACCAGAGUCCGGUCCGACGUGAUGUUAAUCCACAUACCGGUUACGAAAACCACCGUACCGAUAACAAACCGCAACCAGAACCACACUCCGUCGUCGUAGUCGUUCUUGUAAUGAGAAACGUACCUCGCCUGGUCAUGAAUUAACCAAAAGAAUUGUAAAAUUUUAAACCGGUACAAAGUGAUAGUUUUACUAAACCGGAAUCAGAUACAUCGUUACCUGGAUAUAGGCGUUGAGAAGAUUAAAGGUGAAAGCCAUGGCGGCGAUGGUGAUCGGGAAGCCGUUUUUACUCGAGGAGGAGCUGCGGAGGAGGCGGAGAGGGUAGAUGACGGUGCGGUGGAAGUAAUGGAGGAGGUAAGGUGAGAAGAGGAGGAGAGAUUUGGGAUUGUGAGAGUGGCGGCCAAAGGGGAAGAGGAGGAGCGUGAGCCAUAAGGUGGGGCUCUCCAUGAGGAACCAAGCGAGCGGGGGAGAUAAGGUGGGUCCCCAUCCGGAACGGUUGUGUUUGCCGUAAGGAGCUUGGAGGAAUUUGAGAGCGACGGCGGUAGGUGGGCCCGAGAAAAUUAGUGUUAGGACGCAGUA
rnacentral:lncRNA from 1 species